UUAGUUGUGGUGGUCGGCCAAUAAAUUGUGGUGGUCAAAAGCAAAGCAAAGAGUACACAUAAAACGAAAACGGAGAUGUUAAAAAUAAAAUAGAGAAAACGGAAACAGUCAUUUAAAUUGCGAGUGGUAAUCAAGCGGAUUAAGCAUAGUUCCAAUCCACAACUAUUUUUUGGCUUUCGGUAUAAAAAUAACAACAACAACAGUCAACUACGCACCGACAACGGACACCAACACUAAGAACCAACACCGACACUGACACCGACGACCGACGUACGAUUAACGCCCUCCCUACGCUCCGCACUUUUGGCACCCGCACACACACUGACGCACACACGCAUACACUCCUCUCUACAAAUAAUCAUCAUCAUCAUCAUCAUCAUCAUUAUCAUCAUCAUUGCACAGGCGAAGGCACAAGGCACAUAAACACUCAAACACUUAUCUAUAUACCGCGUUUAUCAACGCCGCCCGUCUCCGCCACCGCUGCUGACCCACCACCUCCCACACCCCACCAACCUGAUCCACAACAUCAACUUUGUUUGCUAUUGUUGUCUGCUGCUGCUGUCAUUUGUUUUGUUUCCUUAAAUGUGAACGCACACACACACACGCACGCACGCACGCAAACACCUACACAUACGCGCAAAAUACGAAGGAGCAAACAAAGGCGACGGCUCGAAAAGAAAAGAAAAAAACUGCAACAAAACAACGGAGAGAGCGAGCGAGAGUGACUCCAUUGAGAGCGAAAGCAAAAAGUGCAAUAGAGAGCGCAAGUUUAAAAGUGCAAACUUAAAUAACAAAACGAUCAGCGAUCGCGGGGCGUAGGGCCAGUGGGGGGCAGAGGCCGUGCGAGAAAGUCAAACUCAAACUCUAUGGGUCAAAAGGCAAGCACACCAGCGACCAGCGGCCAGCAGAGCCCACGCUCCAGAACAUUUUCCAGCAGCUCAACGGGUGCAACCGCAACCGACACAACGCCGCAAAGUUCAGCGGUUGGUGGCCGCGGCGGCGAUGCCGGUCAGGGAUUUAACUUGCUGCGCACACUGCCGGGUCUGCAGGUCUAUCACCACCAUCAUAAUCAGCAGAACUCCACGUCCAUAGACCGACAGCGUGCUCGCAGCCUUAGCUCUGUGCCAGAUAUACAACAGCAGCAGCAGCAGCAACAACAACAACAGCAGCAGCAGCAACAACAACAGCAGCAACAGCAACAACAGCAGGGAUCCACAACGUAUCCGCACACACAUCCCGCCGUCUCAGUCUCUGUGUCAGCUAAUUCAAAUAGCAAUAGUUUCCAAGUGGCAGCCGGCAACAACAACGGCUCAUCGGCUGCCGCACAAAGCUACAUGCAACAGAGACGCGCUUUUGGUGACUCAAUACGCGAGAUGUCCAUGACCGGCGCCAAUAUCGUUGAGAGCAUCGCAAUGGCCGCAUCUGCAACAUCUGCGAAUGGCAUCGGUCGUGUGUACACAGCGACAUCGCUGCCAUCGCACAUUUGGUCCUUCAAUGGCAUCAAGUGUCCCGUGUGCAAUAAGUUCGUGUUGCCAGACGAUAUUGAAUGCCAUUUAGUUAUGUGCCUAACAAAACCCAGACUCUCAUAUAAUGAGGAUACAUUAAUGGACGCCAAGGGCGAGUGCGUCAUAUGCCUUGAAGACUUGAGUCCAGGUGAUACAAUUGCUCGAUUGCCAUGUCUAUGCAUAUACCACAAAGGCUGCAUUGAUCGUUGGUUUGAGGUGAAUCGCUCCUGUCCCGAGCAUCCAGGAGAUUAGUAAAAGUCUCAUUAGAGCUCGUUAAGUCGUUUAACGUCUAAGUGGGCAGUGCGUAGAGCGAGUGCCAUAAACAAAACUGGAUGAUAGACGACUUUUGAGCAAGCAUUUGUUAGCAACAAAAAGCCAACAUUGUAAAGAUCAUCAAUUGUUAAAUGGAAUGGAAAAUGAAGUGAGAGGAGAGGCUACGACAAGCAAAAUCUGGAUCGAGCGAUCGAUCGUUUUGACCUACCGACCGACUGUUUAUGCAAAUCCACAAGAAAACAAACACAAAUCAAUUGAAACAAAUUAAUUUACAAUGCUAUCAUAACUAGAAAGUGCAACGUCAACAAACAAAGGACAAAGGACAAAAGUGAACGAAACCAACCAACCCACAAAAACAAAACAAAAAAAAAAACAAAAAAACAGAAAAGAAACAAAUAACAAAGCUAAAUCAACACGAUGUUAAGAAUGAUGUAAAGAUAAAGUUAAUGAUGAUGAAAGUGCAUGAAAGCGAAGCAACCAACCAACCAACAAAAGAAUGUCAACCAAUGUGAUGUUAAAUUUUAUAUUUUGUACUAUGGAUAUGAUGUAAUUGUAAUGUAAUGUAUAUGUAUGU
rnacentral:misc_RNA from 1 species